UGAGUGUAAAGGGCAUGGCUUACCAAAUAACCUAACCUCAUACAGUAGCCAGUGGCUUUUCUGUGUCACACCUAAAAAUCCUCGGAAAAUGAGUCAUUAGUUAUACAGCGAACAGUUUAUUGGUUUCCAAGCUUGAUCUCAUUUCAUACUUUUUUUCUUUAAAUAACAAAUUCAAGCAGUCUGGAACAGGCCAUCCUGUUUCUUUCUCCAAAGGCCCUGACAGCGAACAGAAAUCUUGGCGUGUAGCAGCUGUAACCAAGCACUCCAGGUAGGAAUUCAGAAAUAAAAGCUGAAAGUAAAGACUUCACAAGGGCCCAGAUUGCUUGAUAGGCAGGGCCUAGAAGGGUGCACUCAGAGACGGACAGAUGGGCAGGCAACGCCAUGAACGUGUUUCAAGAAUCCAGAUGAGUCUAGUGACUCUAGGGACUAACCCCAAAUUUCCGAUGGGGGCACCUUCCCUGAUAGCACAGACGCUCAGGAGCUGCCAUCACGCAGAAACAAUUCAAAUUUAACUUGGCGGGGGCAAAUUUCUUCCUUCAGAGUCUUACUUUGACAACCCAAGCAGCAGCGAAGUGCUAGGCCCUCCAUCCACAGGGAGUCGCCGGCUCGGGCUGGGGGAGGCGGCCGGCGUUGGCCCGGCCUCUCGUAAGCCCUGGAUCUGGAAAACAUGGGUCGGGGAGUAGUCCAGUCCGGGUUUUGCCGACUCGGGGGCCGGGGCUGCGGGGAGGGCGGCGAGCGGGAGCUGUGGCAGCGGCGCCGACAGCUCGCGCCGGGGCGGCCGCUGUAGGCCGGAGAGGCGCAGGCCCGGCCGCCGGCCGCGUGGGGCGCAGCUCGGCUGGCGGCUCCAGGGCAGCGGCGGCGUUGGAGGUGUUAGCGCACGGCUAGAGCACACCCACCCCCAUCCCGCCGUAGCCCCGCCUUAGCCCAGCAGCCCGGGCCGGCGUGCUUCCCGGCAACAGCAAGAGGAGCCGCCACAGGGGGAGGGAGUGGAGGGGAGGGGACAGCUCAGCUGCAGGCAUGCAGGCGCGCCGCCUGGCCAAGCGCUCCAGCCUGGGCGGCCGCCGUGGGGGCUCCGCGCUGCAACCCUCGGGCUCGGCGCCCGAGAUCGGGAGGCCGCCACUGCCCCUGCCGCCGCCACGGAGUGCGGGGACAGGUCUCCCUCGGGCCUCCGGGGCCAUCGCGUCGCCGGUGCUGCUGCUGCUGGGCGAGGAGGACGAAGACGAAGAGGGCGCGAGCCGUAGGCGGCGGGGUCUCGGGCGGGUGCCGGAGAAGCCCCGAGGGGGCGCGGAGGAGGACGAUGACGAAUACGAGGAGGACGACGAAGAGGGGGUCAUCGAGGUGGUGGAUGGCGACGAGGAGGACGAGGACAGCGAGGAGCGCUUCCUGCCCCUCGGCCCUGGCCGCGCGGUCCCCAGGGGCCCGGCCCGGGGUGUGGUGAAGGUAGGGAGCAUUAAGCGGGACAUGUCCUUCACGUUUCAACCAGAGGACCUAAAACGAGACUCAAGUAAAAAAAUGUCUCAUCAGCCCUUGUUCCCCUUGGCCGUGGAGGAAGAUGUGAAAACAGCAGACACCAAAACUGCAAACCAAGCCCUUGACCAUGACAAAGAAAAUACCCGUUCCAUCUGUCUCCUUGAGCAAAAGCGGAAAGUUGUUUCUUCCAACAUUGAUGUUCCUCCAGCAAGGAAAUCCUCAGAGGAACUGGACAUGGACAAAGUGACAGCAGCAAUGGUACUAACCAGCCUGUCCACCAGCCCUUUGGUUCGAAGUCCUCCUGUGCGGCCAAAUGAGGGCCUCAGCGGAUCCUGGAAGGAGGGUGGCGCCCCGUCCAGCAGCUGCGGCAGCGGCUACUGGAGCUGGAGUGCCCCCAGCGACCAGUCCAACCCGUCCACCCCGUCACCACCGCUGUCCGCCGACAGCGCCAAGCCCUUCCGUAGCCCCGCGCCUGACGAUGGCAUCGACGAGGCUGAGGCCGGCAACCUGCUCUUCGACGAGCCCAUCCCAAGGAAAAGAAAGAACUCCAUGAAGGUGAUGUUCAAAUGCCUCUGGAAAAACUGUGGGAAGGUGCUGAGUACUGCAGUAGGGAUCCAGAAACACAUCCGGACCAUUCACCUUGGGCGUGUUGGGGACUCCGAUUAUAGUGAUGGUGAAGAGGACUUCUACUACACAGAGAUCAAGCUCAACACAGACUCAGUGGCAGAUGGACUGGGUAGCCUGGCCCCAGCUUCACCAUCCCAGUCCCUGGCUUCGCCACCCACCUUCCCCAUCCUGGAUUCAAGCCGAACAGAAACCCCUUGUGCCAAAACUGAAACUAAACUGAUGACGCCCUUGAGCCGCUCAGCCCCCACCACCCUCUACCUCGUGCACACCGACCAUGCUUACCAGGCCACACCCCCUGUGACCAUUCCAGGAUCGGCCAAGUUUGCCCCCAAUGGCAGCAGCUUCAGCAUCUCUUGGCAGUCUCCUCCAGUUACCUUCACAGGCAUUCCAGUGUCACCAACACAUCACCAUCCUAUGGGCACAGGAGAGCAGAGACAGCACAGUCACACAGUCUUGUCCUCCCCGCCCAGGGGGAUGGUCAGCCUAAGGAAGCCUCGUGGAGAAGGCAAGAAAUGCCGGAAGGUAUAUGGCAUGGAGAACCGAGACCUGUGGUGCACGGCCUGCCGCUGGAAGAAGGCCUGCCAGCGCUUCCUGGACUGAGGAACCUAAGGGACAGCAGUAAUCUAGUCAUGGCCACCGGGUCACAGCCACCGAGCAGGUCACCCCACCUUUACCUCCCACUGCAGCUUUUGGGAAAGCACUCUUCCUUCUGAACAAAACACAUCUGGAGCCCAGGAAAACACUUCCAGGAACCUUGGUGGAAUUACAGCAAAAAAUAAGUCACACAGGCACUGGUCUGUUCGGAACCCACCUAGAGCAGCUAGUACUAAUUUUUUGUGUGUGUGAAAAGGAAAGUCAAUUUGCUUUACUAUGUGUCUAGGUUUGAAAACUAUGGACUUCCAUAGCAAUGGAAUCAACAAUGCCCAUUUUACCUAGAAAGUAGGCAUAUUUUGACAAGCUUUCUGAAAAAUAUCAUUUCAGUUGGGGGUGGGGGGGGUGGCGGCAGGUAUUGAUACACACAAAAAAGCUAUAUGUGAUUCUGUAGCUUUUGUACAAAGAACAAUACACACUUUUGUGUGAAUAGUCUUUUCCCAGUUUCCAUUUGACUUCUUGGGGCAGCACUCUGGGUAUCUUUUCCAUGUCUUUCUCUUUGUUUUGUUUUGAAGAAUGGCCCUGAAAUGGUAGAGCUGUGGGCUUGCAGGGCCCCUGAUGGUGGAAACUCAAAAAUAGUUUCACCAGCAGACUUCACCAGCAGACUUCAGCUCCAAGCUGAGCUCAGGACAUCCAGCUGUCACUGAUGGGAAACACCUAGAAGUCUUCCCAAGAUCUGUAAGAAGCCCUUCCCCAAGCAGCUCCUCCUCUGCCUGCUCAACUCAAUCCAGAACUGGCACAUGGAGCCCUCUGGUGUGGCCCAGAGAUACCAAAAGGUUGGACACCCCUGCCUUGUCCUUCCCAGGGAACAUGCACCCAAGUUGUAGGAUGCAGCGUGACAACUUGGAGAAAGUAACAAGAGUGUUGGAGAACCAAGAAGAAACACAAGAGGCCCAUGGGCACCUGGCUCCCACCCCUUAGUGCUGAUGAGCCACUGGUGGCUGUCCUUGGGCCCCGCUGGGGGAGCGGCCAUCUGCAGUGGACAGAAAUCAGGUGUCCACACCUGUGGGAACAGCCCACUGCCUUUUUCAGCAGACUUCAUUGGAAAUGAAAGCACAGCUUUCACUUGAGAAUGUUUAGAGAAAAGUGGAAAGACUUGUACAUUUAGAACAGAAUGCCUUGAGAAUAGUAGCAAAAUACUAUAAAUAAUAUUCAUUUCCUCAGGGAAAAUUAAAGAGUAUGUGAAAAAUAGAGCUGGAGGAGCUUAAUAUUAGAAAGAUAUUAUCUCCAGAGUCAUCUAGUCAGAAAAAAAAAUUUUUUUUCAUGAACAUGAUGUUAUUUCAAGACAAAGUUACAUGAACUGGACGGGACCAACUUUUCUGGGGCUAGGGGAUGCUUUAUGAGAAGAGCUGUUUCUCUGUGGCUGAGCUGUGGUCAAAGGCUGGUGUGUGGACCAUAAGCACCAUCCCAGGUGGGUGUCCAGAGACUCGUGGAAGGCUUUCUUGGAAUGUAGUUGUGAAUAUGUAGCCUUGGCAUUCCUUCCUCUCAUCACCAGUAGGUUCUUAGUUCACCAGAGUUCUUAGCUAUGAGCAAAAGCUCCCAGGGUAAAAACACUAAAGCUGUGAUAGCAGGUUAAGGAGCAAACUUCCAUGGACUUUUCUGGACAAGGUGCUGCUUUUUCUCAUGACCCUAUAGAAUUUCUCUUGACUACUUCAACUGUAGCAGUGACCUGGUGAGCACCAGGAAGAAUCUGUGCACACAAGUGAGUGGAAACACGGCAGGAUUCGCGGGUAUUGAGGUGUGGAUCAUUUUGAAGAAUGUGCUGGGCAUGAGGGGCAACUGCAAAUUUCAUUUCUUCUAAGAAAAUAACCCUCCUGGCCAUGGACACACACACUCUUCCUGCUCCUUAUACCUGUGGGGAUCCUCUCUGAGGAUUCCUCCCUAUGGAAACUGUUUUCUUUUGUCUUUUUCUAUUGUAACUAGAUGAACCACAAGUCAGAACAUAAAAUGAAAUCAGCACUUUGGGGUACCAAUUGUAUCACCAAUCCAGCAAGAAAGUAUAAAAUAUAUGUCAUUGCGACUGACUUUGAGCCCAUAUCCAAUGGUCUAGAUUAUGUGUCCCCAAUCCUGGUCUGUGGACUGGUACCCAUCUGUGGCCUAUUAGAAACAGGGCCAUGAGCUAAGCUCACCUGAGCUCCCCCUCCUGUCUCCCACUCUUUCUCCUCUUCACCCUCCCCCACAGCCCUAUCUAUGGAAAACCUAGUCCCUGGUGCCAAGAAGUUUGGGGACUGCUGGUCUAGAUCAGUGAUUUUCAACCUUUUUAAUCUCAUGGAACAUGUAAACUAAUUACUAAAAUUCUCCGGCAUACCAAAAAUAUGUUCUAUGUUUUGCCAAUCUGAAAAAAAGUAUAAUUUUGAUUCAUCCACACCAGACACCUGUCAUGUUGGCUGUUGUCAGUUUUUUGUUUAUUUGACAAUCUAUGAGGAAGAGGUGAGUGCCCCUAACUAAAUAGUGGUAUUGCAUGUUUUAAAAAUUCUUGUGACACACUCUUUGAAAAUCACUGGGCUAGAUGCUUUAAAAAGUGUAUCUAUCAUAGGACCAGCAAUCAAAGUGGGACUUUUACUUGUGGUCUUGAUUUGUAAAUAGAUCCUUUUUUAUGACAAUCUCAUAUUUUAUAACUUCUCCUGAGGGUCUGAGAAUCACAAUGGUAAUGUGUUAUAUUGGAAUGUAAUCUGAAAUACAAUAACAAUUAUAACUUAAUUUUCCAAAUAAGACAAGAAAUACACUGCUUAAGUUUCUAUAAUUCUGAGAGACAUACCACUUUUAUAAUAAGCAUUAGUACUUAACUUCUCAAGUUAACAGAACUAGAGAUAUUUUACAGGAUGCAGUGUUUUGUAAUCACAAAAAACAUGAACAUUUUCAGAGAAAUGACCUUGGUUUUAUACACUGUAGCUUAUUUUUUAAAAGAUAGUCUUACUGGACAGGAAGCAUUAAUAUUAUAAGCAUUUCUUACUCUCCAAACAAAGGGCUAUGCCUCUUUUAAGCAAGUGUUUUGGUGCAUAUCUUUUCAGUUAACCCUCUGCAGUGAGGGGUCAAAAUAUAGACCAGAUGGAAAGAUUAAUUCAAGAAAAUCAAGAUGGCAACAGCUACUCCUUUUAUCAUUAACAGUGUGUUUUCAAUGUAUUGUGGGGGGAAAGACACUUUAAGAAUCAUCCUGUGUAUCUUAAAUCUAGAAGAAGUCAAUAGACAUGCUUAUAAGUAAUGAGAGAAAUAUUGUUAUACAUUUUUUAGUGUAAAAUGAUAGAUUUUCCACACACACAAGCUACCAAAUGACCUACCAGAACCACAAACCUGUGUUAAACUAGCAAGUAUCAUUUGGUAGAAAUUUCUAAAAUCAUGCAAUGUAAGCCCAAAGGUAGAAUUCUUAGAUGGUUAGUGGUAUUUAAAAUAAUUUUCUCUUCAGCUAAACUUGCAUUUCCUUAUCAGAACAAGUGAUUGAUUUUUUUUAACCAGAAGAACUCACAGACAUGUCAGGUUGGCAUCAGAAAGUCACAGUAUUCUCAAGAGCUGGGAAAUGAGGAAGGCACACAUGGAGCCUUUACUAACUGUGUAAGUAAUUCUGAGCUUUGCCAGACCAUUCACAGUGCUGUAGUUCUUUUUUUUUUUUAUCCCACUCACUGUUAAAGCAAGAAAGCAUCUUGUCUUUCUAAGAUUUUACUCAUUCAAAAGCUGGACCCUUUAGCCAAGUAUGCAGAUAACAUCAAAAGAAAAGCUAGGAUACAAUGGUCAUAUACCCAUUGCACAACUCCUAUGAGGUCAUCAGAAGGUCACUCAGACCUUGCUUUCAAAAGGGCUUUUGAAUCUGUACACAUGAGAACUAGAAAUGCAUGGAGUUAAGGAAUGACUAUUUGGCCUCAUCUCCUGGUCCUUGAGAUGAGGAAGUCUGAAAAUCUCUAUGUCCUUUCCCCUGGAAUGUCUCUGUUGUUAGCAUUAAAGUUCCCAGGAAGUAUUCACUGCUGAAUGGUUUUGAACCAAGUGAAUCUUGCUUCUUUUUUUUUUUAAGAUUUUAUUUAUUUAUUUAUUUUAGACAGACAGGGAAGGGGGGAGAAAGAGAGGCAGAGAAACAUCAAUAUGCGGUUGUCUCUCAUGCACCCCCACUGGGGACCUAACCUGGCCCACAACCCAGGCAUGUGCCCUAACUGGAAAUUAAACCGGCAACCCUUUGGUUUGCAGGCUGGCACUCAAUCCACUGAGCCACACCAGCUAUGGCAUUGCUUCAUUUUUAAGUAGAAGCUUCCUAAUGGUAUAGAGCAGAUACUUUAGAAGGCCCAGAUGGGUUGUGAAUGAAUGAUUUAGAUCAGGCAAAAUAUGGACACUAGAGAAUGGUGGCAAUCAUGAUGAACAAGAAAAAAACAUGUCCCCUUUGAAGGGGUGACCCAGCCGUAGACAAUCAGAACCAUGCAGAAAUCAGGCCCAGGGAAGCUAGAUCUUCUGACUUGAAAAUAUGAUCUUACCUGACGUUUAGUGUUGACAACUAACUCACAUUCUUGACCAGCACUGUGCAGACCAAAGGAACCUAUAUGUGGGCAGGUGCAGCCUUUGGCCACCAGAUCCAGCUAUUGGGAGACACAGAGUUCACAUUCCAUAACCAUCAGUCAAGUUCCUCCAUCAGCCAACCCCCACACCCCCCACACUCACCUUGGCACUAUCUGGACAACUAAAAUCAAGGGAGGGAAAGAGGUCAGUUCUCCCCAGAAGUCAUUCUCAUGGAAGACUUGAUUAUAGAAGUAUAAUGUCCUCAAACUAGCCUUGCCUCAGAUCAAAACCUACUGAAGUCUUACCCAGCUCUCACUCUGCUUUCUUGAGGCCCAGGCCAUGCCCCAGAGUACUGAAUAACUGUAAUCCUAACUUUCUUAGUGUUUUCACUGCCAUGACCACUGUGAUGAGGGGCUGGAAAGGAGCAGCCUUGAGCCUUAAAAGAAGGCAGCGGGGAACCCCCAAAGUUUAAGACAGCACACAUAGCUCCCUUAUGCUGAAGCCCUUUGCCAACCCCUCUACACUCCUUUCCCCUCCUUCCUGCCUUGUGACUUUUUGUCCCUGGGUAAUAUUUCUGUGGUUUCACCUCUAAUAUGGCAAAAUCCUUGCUGAAAAACUGGUAGGUAUUUGGGUAUUUUAGAGUGUCCACUGACCUCAGAAUGGAAUUUUUCCACACAGAAAACCUUAGCAUCUUUAUCUGAGGAUGAAGACAAAAUAGGAAUAAAUAUGUCAUGGAAAAAAUUAGAUGUCACUUCCUUCAUUUGGAUGGAUGGACUAAGUGAUUUUAGGCUGUAUCUCACACCAGAAUCCUUAUGGUGUUGGAACAAUCACAUUUAUAAUAAAGUAUGUCUCUUUCAGAUACAUUGUGUUAUUUGUACUUCCUAAGAACCAAGUGGAGAACAGGGAUAUUUAGGAUCACUAUCACCUACCUCCAAGGCUAAUCUGGAGUGAUCUUGAGCCUGGGAGUCAGCCUCAUGCAUGCCUACAAAUUCAAGGGCAAGGGCUCAAUAAAGCUCAGACCUUAAUCUUCCAGCACAAAUCCAGACCUGAGAAAACCCAGUGACCCACUAUGUUCUCAACCCAUUCUUCUAAUCCAGUUUCUCAGCAUAGAAAAGCCCAUUCGCUCACAUUGCUAAAUACAAAGGAACGAUUUCCAAAUGCAAACUAGGACUAGGGCAGCACCAUCCUGCAUCUCCUAAGUUCCAACCAUACAGGUGGUCAUUAUAGGAGUUGAGUAGCUAACAUGAAUAACAGUUUAGACUCCUUGGGAAAAGUUAUUUUGCUGCUAACAUUCAACAUUUGCUAUCCAUGUAAACUUAAAUUGAUGCCAGAAAAUUUUAAAACAGCUCAUAUUUACAGUGUGUAAGGAUCACAUCAAAAAAUCAUGUUAACCCCAAGUUGGAAACACCUGGGAAUCUGGUUAAGUCAUGUUUAAAUAUGAAUGCAAUUUAAAUAGCUCUGGUGAUGCCUGAGAUUUCUGUCACUGUGAGGGGUGCCAAUGUGGUCUGAUACUUGAAUGGAUUUCCUGCCACCCUUCUGCAUUAGUUUACCAGGUUUCACUUCUUGAGUACAGGAUAAAGCCACUCACAGGGAGCUGGAAGGGACCUAAACCACUCCGGCCCAUCACCUACAUCAUUAACAGGCUUUUUAAUAAAUGUUUCUAAAGCAAUAAUACAGAACUGGAGGAGGACAGAGGGGAGCCCUUUCUUCCUCUGCUGGAAAAGAAGCCUGUUGUGCAGUGGUUGGCACCAAUGCUGUGACUGUGGCAGGACUUAGAAGGACUAAACUGCAGGGAACAAGAAGAAAGCUACCCCCGCAGAGAGGGGGUAAUGAUAGAUCUGAAAGAAGUUGGAAAUCUUGAGGUCAGUGCUUAAGUUGUAGUCUUGUUUUUUAAAAAAUAUUCUUUUUUAUUGGGUGCCAUCCAUGUAUUUAACUGCCACCUUCCAAAGAAAAGAUUGUCUUCAUUUGUAUUAUGAAACUGUUAAAAAUUAAUUCUCAAGUCUACUUAAAUACAGGUCCCCCCCUACCUAUCCAAAGGUAGAGUGAGCUUAUGAAACUUUUUGUAAACUGAAUCAGUAACACGAAGACCUAUGUUAGAGUAAGGUGAUGGCUUUUUUCUUAAAAGUAAAAAUCCUCUUCGGAUUUCAUUCUGUUAGCAAAGGCAGGUGUCAAUGUAAGGGUUUCAUAAAAACCAAGUGGCCAAAGGCAAACUUUUGAUAUUGGGGGCCCAUGUAUUACACUCACUUAGAGGGCAAUUCUCUACAUUUUUAACUCAGAAAAUUAGCGAGAAUACAAAGUAGCAACUCCUGGUGAAAGCAAAGUAAGCUGUCAUAAAGAGUGAUGUUUUCUUUAAAAAAAGAGUUGCUCAUCUAUUUUCUUCUAACUGAAGAGGAAAACCAACACUCAGGAGAAGUUGAGCUUUGAGAACAGAGAACAGUCCCCAUCCUGGUAGCCACCUUGCAUUCAUGUUCCUAUGUUACUACACUGUUAAUAUGUAUGUUCCUCUCCCAAGGUCUCAAAUUAUACAUUUUGCUUCUGGGGCUGCUGGUUUUUCAUUCUUAAAUAAGAUCCAAGGGGAUAAAAGUCAUCAUGACUGGUGCGCUAGUCUCAGUCUGUGAGGCCACCCCCUUGGGAAGAAUUCCCAUCUGUCUGAGCAGUUUUAGGAGUACACUCAGAGAGCAGGGUUGGUCAGCACGCAGCCCACCACACUCAUCACAAAAGACUGGCCAAGUCACUGAUAAAGGACAGGCAGAUAUCUAGUCCUCUCACUCUGACUCAAAGCUCCAUGCAAGUCCCAUACCACCAGCCCCUUGCAUGUGGACCAGGAAUGGAGGAAGGCAAAGGGAGUAAGCUUCACCUUAAUUUCCCCAGGGCUCACUUUGCCCACAUUACACAACAUGAAAAUGAAAGCAUUUUUAAAAAUGUGAAAAGAAGUGGCUUCUGCAGGGUGUCUUUGUUUUAAUGUUAUAUUCAUGGAUCUAGAAAGUAGCAACUCCAAUCCGCUCACACAGUGAAGCCCUAGUCCCUCACCUGUGGGCAGCCUCCCUCCCAUGCUUUCAGCAGGGAUGGAGAGACCGAGAGGAAAGAGGAAGAACUUUAGGACCAGUGCCUGCUGCCAGAGUUGGAAUGACCCUCCAGGAUCAAUGGUGUAGCUUCAUCAUAAACUACCCCCACUGCACCCCAAAAUAAGGAUGCAUCUCCUGCAGAUUAUAAACCCUUGCUUUGCUCUUUAAAUCUUUUUUUGAUAGACUCUGCUAAUUGGAAAUCAAUGACUGUGAUUUGACCAAGCCCUGUGAUGAUAGAAAAAUUCUCUCUUCUGAAGUCUCCCAACUGUUUGGGGAACCUUCGUGACCACUGGUAGGAAGCUUUAGAAAAGAGAUUUUUAGGGAAGACCUCAAUACCCCCAAAUAUACUUGUGACUUCAAUAACUGAAAAUGCCCUGGGUGUAAAAUAACAUAGGAAUGUGGAUGACAUAUGUAAAAAACAUGAUGUAUCAAUAUUUUCCUACAAUACACCCUAAAAUCCCUAUUUUUGUAGUUAAUGGUCAGACAACGGUCAGCCAUUUGAACAUGUGCUCUCUGGAAUAACCAGACACUAGUAUAGUUUCCAAAGCAUUUUGUGUAUCAAAACCUAUAUACUUAGAAGAACUCAGGAUAAGAAGAAAUUGCUAGGUCCCAAAUGGUUCAUGACUAUCAUCAAAUGCAAAGGCCAAGUAAGUGGCCUAUGGUCCUCUUCAAAUGAGGGGCUAGAGAGUAAGAGAAACAGCAGUUAUCACAGAACCUCUGUUGCCCUUAGUUCAUGAUAAAGUUUAAAAAAGUCCACUUUUAAAAAUCAAGCCAUCUUUCAAAUUGUUUUCUAUACCAAAUCUAAACUAUUGAAAUGAAAAUCUAAAACAUCUUUAUGGGGUUGUUAGUGGAAAUGCGGUCAGUAGGAAACAUUGCUUUGUGGUGCCUGUGAAACAAGCGAAGGAGAAAGUCAGACUGAAGAGAAAGAAGGGUUCUUCCUAUAUGAUUCUAGCCUUCAAAUGACAGGCCUUAACUUAUAAUUGGGCACUACUAAUUCAAAACCAAUGUGGCCAUGCUAUCCAAUUUUUAGACAUCCUUUGAAAUAGUUUUAGCCACCAUUUGGAGAUGAGUGAGUGCUUACAAAGGUUGUUAAUGUCAGUAAAUGAAUGUAUAAUGUUACAAACUAUGCAUUUUCAAAGAGUAAUGUUUAUUUUGUGUUGAACCCAAGUAAAUUCUUUUCAUAGAGACUUAUCACAACCACAAAUUAUUCAAGAUAAACUUGAACACAUGUUAUUAUGGGGAGGUGGGACUCCCAUCUAUAUUCUUCUAGCUGAUAUUUUUAAAGACAGUGCAUUGAAAUUUCAGGCUCUAAACAAAUUCAGCCAUUAAGGUGAAUUAAUAGGAAAUGUCUUUGGACAUUAAUAGAAAAUGUAAACAUUUUACCUCUUAAACAGAAAAAGGACAUGUUGGCUGUCACAAGAUGUGCCCAGUUCUUAGAGUGUUCUAGUAACAUUGGAUUAACAAUCAAACAAAAUUGCAUAGAGUUAACGAGGAUCACAUUGGAUAAAUAGAGUGUGGGUUGUAUCUGGUGUGUUUAAUCCUCUAUCAAAAAAAUAUUCCUCAAAGAUUUGGGUUAUAUAGUUCCAAAGAACAAAAUAUAAAAUAAAAUAUUGUCAUUUGAGGUGGUAAACACAAUACAAUACACAGGUGGUGUAUUAUAGAAUGGUACACCUGAAACCUAUAAUUAUAUUAACCAAUAUCACCCCAAUAAAUUCAAUUAAAAAUGAAAAAAUAAAGUAUUUUCUAGCAAAGCGAAUUACUGAUCUUUUUUCAAAAUUACAUGGAGAUGAUGACUCAUUUUGGGGGGGAUGUUUAUAUGGAAUGUACACAUGUUUAUUCAGCCCUCUUGUUGAUUUUGUAUGUUCAUGAAAACUUUUCCACCAAUAAUUUAUCUUUGCUCCUUAAUCAAUGCUUUACUACAUUACAUGACAUGGAAAAAAAAAUCCUUUCCUUCAUCUGACAAUGUGGAAAUAGAGAAAUCCAUUUCUCUACAGUCUAUUUUCCUUCUGUGUCCACUGACAAUGUUUCUCAACUGUUUGUAUGUAAAAUACUGGGAAUACUUGUAAACCUGGCACUCAUGUUUAGUUAUACUGGGUAUGUUUGCUACCAUUUAGAAGUCAUGCAGAAUGUCUUUUUAUAUUACUUUUAGCCGAAUUCAUAUGUUCUGAUACUAUGUUUCUGAAUACCUAGUCAACUGUAAAUACAGCCUGUGGAGGUCCAGGUUCAGACACCGUUCAGUGACUGUUCCUCAGCCGUGCUCCUGGCCAGCUUUUGGCACGUUGUAUAUAGAUUUGUCGAAUGUUUAAAUGAUGUUGUUUUUCUAAAUGCUGUUCUCUAAAACAACAUUUUUUAUUUUUUUUCUUUGCUUUCCAUUGUUUAGGACUUUGUGUGUGCUUUAAAAAAAUUGUUUUCUAAAUACUUAACACCAGGAAAAAUAUUUCAAAUAAACUGGUGCUAAUUGAAAUAGAAAUGUCAGAUUGAAGAUGUACAACAUAAAAUGUUCACACCAGUUCAACGAAAUUGCACUUUCCUGAGGGGACAGCUGGCAUCUACCUGUAGUGGGCAUCAGGAGGACCACUACAUGUUUACAGCUUCUGUGGCCCAUUUAAGUGUGAAAAUAUAGAAGUGGUGCUGUCCCCCCAAGUCAAGGAUUUGCUACAUUGGUCCUAUGGGAGAAUAUAAGUAGAAGUAAAGGUUUGUAGUAAGAAUCACAUUAAUAAUAGUCUUCUGGUCUUUGGAGUUUAAUGUCUGUAAUGCUUCAUGUAACAAUGAACCUGGUGUUGGUAGUCUAGUCUGACAUUCUCGUUGACCUGUGCUCACUGCGUGUACAGUUCUAGCUUGGGCUGCACAGGCAUGUGCCGAGCCAGAGCACAGGACUGUCAUUAGGCCAGCCUGACUUCUGCAGUGUCCACACACACGAACUUAAAUGCACUUGUAACUUGGUAAUUACCAUGACGUCUAGCUUUCACGUAAUAAAAGUUUUUGUG